rnacentral:rRNA from 1 species
CGGACGGGUGAGUAACACGUGAGCAACCUGCCUUUCAGAGGGGAAUAACGUUUGGAAACGAACGCUAAUACCGCAUAACAUUGGGAUAUGGCAUCAUGACCCAAUCAAAGAUUUAUCGCUGAAAGAUGGGCUCGCGCCCGAUUAGGUAGUUGGUGAGAUAAUAGCCCACCAAGCCGACGAUCGGUAGCCGGACUGAGAGGUUGAACGGCCACAUUGGGACUGAGACACGGCCCAGACUCCUACGGGAGGCAGCAG